UUUAUGCAUGUUUCCAAAUUAUUCGUGUGAUUAUUAUAGAUGUCUAUAAGUGAUGAAUUUCUGGAUAUAAAAUUUGUAUUCUAUUGGGAAGUAUCAAUUCUAUGGUUAAAUGGUUAUCUAUCUCUGAACAGAUGUUAUGAUGGAAUGUAUAUUUUUUAAUUUCUAGCUACUACCUUUACCUACUUGAUUUUCUUUGACUUUUUGUGAGUACAGGUGAAAUUUGCUUGGAUGAAUAUAGCAGGAACCGGAUAUCAACAGUAUUUUGAAAAUCUUCAUGGUUAAGAGACCAGUGAAACAUGUAAGGACCUCAUCGAGAAAUUAACUCUCUUGCCGGGAAUAAUGAUAAGUUAGUCAAGAUUACUUCUAGUUGUUUUAAGCAUUCUGCAGAUGAAUAUGACACCAAAGAAAACUUUUGGAGUGCUAUACAGAAACGUUGCAUUAAUUAUCUUCAUAAAACCCUUGUAGAUUCAAAUCUCCAGGCUGAGUUGGCUGAAUUACAUGCAUUGAGAACAAUACUGCAAAGCUAUGUUGUGGAGAAGUCGCACACUAGCUUCUGAUGUUCUUUCUAAUUCAACCCAGCGACCACGUCUAAGUUUGGCAACUACUCUUCCUGCUCCAAAAUUGGCUGUGUAGUCAUCAGCAGCUAAAACAGAGAUGUCUCCACAGUUGGACUCUGUCAUGUUCACCUCCCAUAUGGUAAAACCAGUCUGAAGAAUGAAGAAGACUAUGACUGGGACAAAUUUCAGUGUCUUCCAGUUUCCACCAGAGUAGUUUCUGAAGGCACAUCAGCAUGAAUCUAUUUCAGAAGAUUCGUCCAAACAGGGAAUUGAUUUUCCAGCUAAAGAUUGAUGAUUUUUAAUCAUUUUCUGGAUCUCAAUUGCUUACGGAUUCAACUAUAACAGGGGAAAUCCUAUAAGAUACACGCAAACUCACUUUCUGUAGCUUUUGAAGAACAUAUAACAUAACAAAAGUGAACUGAACAGAAAGAGAAUCUCCAAUAAGAAUCACCAGAUAAAUCAAGUGAAGAUGGCAGUCACAAGGAUCUUUCUUCAUUCCAUUCGUAAUGGUGAGGUAGCUGAUGAGCUACAUAUCAACUCCAAAAGUCCAGUCCAUACGAGAAAACAGAAGCAAAACCUCAAAAAUCAAAUGUCUUGCCAUCCCAAAGGCUUCUCAACCCUUUGACAUGAUUAAGCCAGGCGAUUUAGCCAUAAUCUUAGUAGAUGGCAUUGUAGUUUUUUUGGGUAAAAGAUAGGGUCAUUCAAAAAUUUGUUUUGUAAUUAUUUACAAAAUUUUAUAAUACUCAAAAUUAAACACACUUGCUAACAUAA